rnacentral:rRNA from 1 species
AUUGAACGCUGGCGGCAGGCCUAACACAUGCAAGUCGAGCGGAUGAAGGGAGCUUGCUCCUGGAUUCAGCGGCGGACGGGUGAGUAAUGCCUAGGAAUCUGCCUGGUAGUGGGGGAUAACGUCCGGAAACGGGCGCUAAUACCGCAUACGUCCUGAGGGAGAAAGUGGGGGAUCUUCGGACCUCACGCUAUCAGAUGAGCCUAGGUCGGAUUAGCUAGUUGGUGGGGUAAAGGCCUACCAAGGCGACGAUCCGUAACUGGUCUGAGAGGAUGAUCAGUCACACUAGAACUGAGACACGGUCCAGACUCCUACGGGAGGCAGCAGUGGGGAAUAUUAGACAAUGGGCGAAAGCCUGAUCCAGCCAUGCCGCGUGUGUGAAGAAGGUCUUCGGAUUGUAAAGCACUUUAAGUUGGGAGGAAGGGCAGUAAGUUAAUACCUUGCUGUUUUGACGUUACCAACAGAAUAAGCACCGGCUAACUUCGUG